rnacentral:rRNA from 1 species
UACGUAGGUGGCAAGCGUUGUCCGGAUUUACUGGGCGUAAAGAGCGCGCAGGCGGUCGGAUUAGUCGCGUGUGAAAGCCCCCGGCUCAACUGGGGAGGGUCACGCGAUACUGUUCGACUCGAAGGCAGGAGAGGGAAGUGGAAUUCCCGGUGUAGUGGUGAAAUGCGUAGAUAUCGGGAGGAACACCAGUGGCGAAGGCAGCUCGCUGGGACGGUACUGACGCUGAGGCGCGAAAGCGUGGGGAGCAAACAGGG